rnacentral:misc_RNA from 1 species
GAAGUGCGAUAAGCAAUGCGAAUUGCAGAACCGUGAGUCAUCAGAUUUUUGAACGCAACUGGCGCUGACUGGCUCUCCAGUCAGCAUGCUUGUUUCAGUGUCUCUUUAUCUCAUCACCCAAAUCUUAAUGCGAGAGAUACCCUUCUCUUGUUAAGCAAGAAAGCACUCUGCGCUCUGCGAGCGAUUUCGACUUGUUCGAGAUUGCACUCAAUGCAGCAGUCACAUUGUUCACAAUGUGAACUCAUUGAGAGUAGAGGCAGUUCGGCCUUACAGCUGUUAGUGCUUAGACACUCAAACUUUUCUUGUAUCUGAAAUCAAGCAGGAUCACCCGCUGAACUUAA